rnacentral:rRNA from 1 species
UGGGGAAUAUUGCACAAUGGGCGCAAGCCUGAUGCAGCCAUGCCGCGUGUGUGAAGAAGGCCUUCGGGUUGUAAAGCACUUUCAGCGAGGAGGAAGGUGGUGAACUUAAUACGUUCAUCAAUUGACGUUACUCGCAGAAGAAGCACCGGCUAACUCCGUGCCAGCAGCCGCGGUAAUACGGAGGGUGCAAGCGUUAAUCGGAAUUACUGGGCGUAAAGCGCACGCAGGCGGUUUGUUAAGUCAGAUGUGAAAUCCCCAGGCUCAACCUGGGAACUGCAUUUGAAACUGGCAAGCUAGAGUCUCGUAGAGGGGGGUAGAAAUUCCAGGUGUAGCGGUGAAAUGCGUAGAGGAUCUGGAGGAAUACCGGUGGCGAAGGCGGCCCCCCUGGACGAAGACUGACGCUCAGGUGCGAAAA